CGGACGGCGUGUGUGUAUUUUCGUAAGCUGUGUGUUAGCACGCGCUCAGCGCUGCAGACGGACAGCGGCUAGGUUUAAUUUCCACAGGGUCCAGAUGCAAACUCGUGCCUGCAACGCAGCUACAUAAGGGGCAAAGCUGGAGAUGAUGCCAGUUCAAGUCCAGCCAGGAAGAAAUGUUAUCAAGACUCCACCUUAACGGCCCUCACCCGCGUGCUCUGGAGAAAGCCAAACCAAACCACAACGUGGAGAAAAGCCUCCAGGGGCCGCCCAGCUGCCAGGAGCCAUGGGACUGAACUCUGGUUCUCCUCUGUGUGCUGCUAGAGUGCGGUGCACAGCAUCGUGCCACUCCUGUCUGCUGGGAGGAGCCGCCGGCAGGUGAGGAACCUGCCAGGGUGGACAGACCCCAGCACCUUGGCUGCCCAGUGUCUGCUUUCACUCUUCUCUGCCCCCUGCCGACAGCCCUGAAACCGGGUCCACCUCCCCAGGCAGGUCUUUAGGGGUAUCCUUCCCAGCCUGCACGAGCACAGCACCCCUGAGAUGAGAGAGGGGCAGGCUGGGAGCUCCGUGGGCAUCUCUGACCAUGGCCAUGGAGUCGUGGCCUCUGGGGAGGGGGUGGGGCUGCUGAGAAGAGAAGCCAAGGCCCAGGUGCUGAGCGGGAGGAGGCCGCACAGGCCAGGGCGGGUGAGGGUCAUGUUGACCCUGCUCUUGGGUCCUUGGCCCAAGGUCUGGACAUGAACAGCCAUGGAAGGAAAACGA